rnacentral:rRNA from 1 species
AGAUUGAACGCUGGCGGCAGGCCUAACACAUGCAAGUCGAGCGGCAGCACGGGUACUUGUACCUGGUGGCGAGCGGCGGACGGGUGAGUAAUGCCUAGGAAUCUGCCUGAUAGUGGGGGAUAACGCUCGGAAACGGACGCUAAUACCGCAUACGUCCUACGGGAGAAAGCGAGGGGACCUUCGGGCCUUGCGCUAUCAGAUGAGCCUAGGUCGGAUUAGCUAGGUUGGUGGGUAAUGGCUCACCAAGGCGACGAUCCGUAAUGGUCUGGAGAGGAUGAUCGAGUCACACGUGGAACUGAGACACGGUCCAGGACCUCCGUACGGGAGCAGGCAGGUAGGGAACUUAUGGAACAAGU